CUAUACAUGACUCUGCGCAUAUCAAUAAGCGGAGGAAAAGAAACUAACAAGGAUUCCCCUAGUAACGGCGAGUGAAGCGGGAAGAGCUCAAAUUUGAAAUCUUAAAGGGUUUCCCUUUACGAAUUGUAGUUUAAAGAAGUGUUUUCUGUUGAGGUUUUGGUAAAAGUUCUUUGGAAUGGGACAUCAUAGAGGGUGAGAAUCCCGUAUUUGACCUUUACUUUCAACUUUGUGAUACACUUUCAAAGAGUCGGAUUGUUUGGGAAUGCAGUCCAAAAUGGGUGGUAAAUUUCAUCUAAAGCUAAAUAUUGGCGAGAGACCGAUAGCGAACAAGUACCGUGAGGGAAAGAUGAAAAGAACUUUGAAAAGAGAGUUAAACAGUACGUGAAAUUGUCAAAAGGGAAGCGUUUGACACCAGUGUUGUUUUUCUGAAAAUCAAUUAAAGAGCUGUUUAUGCUAAGCUGUUUAGACUUUAUCAGCUAUCUGCUUAGUUUUGAGCUUUUCUUUAAUGCACUUUUCAGUUAACAAGUCAACAUCAAUUUCUUUUGCUGUAAAAAAGCUUGAGGAAGGUGGCUUGAGAUUCGUCUUAAGUGUUUAUAGCCUCUUGCCUAUGCAGUCGGAGAGAUUGAGGUCUGCAGCGUAGAUCCUUCGGGGCUAAAUGCAUUUGUGCUAAGUUAUAGCAUUUUAUAGACAACUUGUUGACUAUGAUUUGUCUUGUAGCUUACUCGCUUAUGUUAUUUUACCUACGCUUAGGAUGUUGAGCGCAUGUCUCUCUCU
rnacentral:rRNA from 1 species